CGCUCGUAGUCGGAUUUCGGGGCGGGCCGACCGGUCUGCCGAUGGGUAUGCACUGGCCGGCGCGUCCUUCCACCCGGAGACCGCGCCUACUCUUAACUGAGCGGGCGCGGGAGACGGGUCUUUUACUUUGAAAAAAUCAGAGUGUUUCAAGCAGGCAGUCGCUCUUGCAUGGAUUAGCAUGGGAUAAUGAAAUAGGACUCUGGUGCUAUUUUGUUGGUUUCGAACACCGGAGUAAUGAUUAACAGGGACAGUCAGGGGCACUCGUAUUCCGCCGAGAGAGGUGAAAUUCUCAGACCAGCGGAAGACGAACCACUGCGAAAGCAUUUGCCAGGGAUGUUUUCACUGAUCAAGAACGAAAGUUAGGGGAUCGAAGACGAUCAGAUACCGUCGUAGUCUUAACCAUAAACCAUGCCGACUAGGGAUUGGAGGAUGUUCCAUUUGUGACUCCUUCAGCACCUUUCGGGAAACUAAAGUCUUUGGGUUCCGGGGGGAGUAUGGUCGCAAGGCUGAAACUUAAAGGAAUUGACGGAAGGGCACCACCAGGAGUGGAGCCUGCGGCUUAAUUUGACUCAACACGGGGAAACUUACCAGGUCCAGACAUUGUGAGGAUUGACAGAUUGAGA
rnacentral:rRNA from 1 species